GGCGUCAUGGUCUAGCGGUAUGAUUCCUGCUUUGGGAAACUGAAAAAUGCAGGAGGUCGUAAGUUAUAGCCUCAUACAUCACGGGAAUUGAACAGAAUACUAACAUACGAAAUAGCCGGGUUCAAUCCCCGGUGACGCCC